GAACUUCGGAGUGUAGGUGGACACACUGCACUGUGUCUCUGACGUAGGUGUGAUUGCUCCCAUGAGAAGGACAGCUCCACAGUUUCACUUACCGUUGUCCAUUUUGUUUUGAUUUUCGGCAGCUCCAUCCUGGAAUUGUUCCCCAAAGUAUUAUGCCUGGAUGGCCAGCAGUCACCCAGAGCAACUUUAUGUGGUACUGAAGCCCACAAGAGGUUACCAACCUGUAAGGUGAGAAGAGAGGAUCCAGCAGGGUGGUGCAUGAGGAAGGGGGGGUACCAUCUGUGGUCCUGGGGACUCUUUAUUCCAGGGAAGCUUCUUUGGAUCUGAGAUGUUGAAGAAUCUGGUCCUGCAAUUCCUGCAGCAGUAUUACUUGAUCUAUGACUCUGGAGAUCGACAGGGUCUCCUUAGUGCUUACCACGAUGAGGCCUGCUUCUCCCUGAGCAUUCCCUUCAAUCCUGAGGACUCAGCCCCGAGCAGGUUCUGCAAGUUCUUCAAGGAUAGCAGGAAUAUAAAAAUUCUCAAGGACCCCUACCUUCGGGGGGAGCUGCUGAAGCACACAAAACUUGAUAUUGUGGACUCCCUCAGUGUGUUGCCUAAGACUCAGCAUGACCUCAGCUCCUUC
rnacentral:sRNA from 1 species